UACAGAGGUCUCAACCGUUGUUCGGAUUCACUGGGCGUAAAGGGUGCGUAGGCGGUCGCGCAAGUCGGAUGUGAAAUCUCAGGGCUCAACCCUGAAACUGCAUUCUAUACUGCGUGGCUAGAGUGCUGGAGAGGAGACUGGAAUUUACGGUGUAGCAGUGAAAUGCGUAGAUAUCGGGAGGAACACCUAUGGCGAAGGCAGCUCGCUGGGACGUUACUGACGCUGAGACGCGAAAGCGUGGGGAGCAAACAGG
rnacentral:rRNA from 1 species